rnacentral:rRNA from 1 species
GAAUGCUGACAUAAGUAACGAUAAAGCGGGUGAAAAGCCCGCUCGCCGGAAGACCAAGGGUUCCUGUCCAACGUUAAUCGGGGCAGGGUGAGUCGACCCCUAAGGCGAGGCCGAAAGGCGUAGUCGAUGGGAAACAGGUUAAUAUUCCUGUACUUGGUGUUACUGCGAAGGGGGGACGGAGAAGGCUAUGUUGGCCGGGCGACGGUUGUCCCGGUUUAAGCGUGUAGGCUGGUUUUCCAGGCAAAUCCGGAAAACCAAGGCUGAGGCGUGAUGACGAGGCACUACGGUGCUGAAGCAACAAAUGCCCUGCUUCCAGGAAAAGCCUCUAAGCAUCAGGUAACAUCAAAUCGUACCCCAAACCGACACAGGUGGUCAGGUAGAGAAUACCAAGGCGCUUGAGAGAACUCGGGUGAAGGAACUAGGCAAAAUGGUGCCGUAACUUCGGGAGAAGGCACGC